CUUUUUGCGAAGUGGGCUCGUGGGUUGGCAGUAUGAGAGUUGUAAUGGCCCGACUGUUGAGUGAGGGGGAGCAGGGGAUCCCAACGGCUUGCGCUGCCUUUGCGCAGCAGCCGGCGGGCGGCCACGUCGCGGCCUGGCUGGGGUAGGAGAGGGCGGUCCCCAGUGCAGUUGGGUGAACUACCGUUGCACACUGGAGUUUCUGGUGUCUUUGCUUGGAACUGACCUAGCUCGUGGCAGGGGGAACUCGGCUAGCGGCCCCACAGCCCCUGCUGACUCAAAACAACUGAGUUGUAAGACGUUCAUCGCCGUGUUAUCCUUGAGUAAAGAAGCGGGCUUUUGCCAUGUUGUCCAGGCUGGUCUCUACUCCUGGGCUCAAGCAGUCCUCCUGCCUCAGUCUCCCAAAGUGCUGGAAUUACAGGGAAUGAACUCUGGAAGCCCAGCCAGGGACAAUGCACCUUCACAGAGAUUCUGCACUAAUCUGAGUGAAGGUCUAAGGUUUGGAAUCUCCCCCUCAUGGAGAGAAGCUUUGUAUGGCUGUCAUGCUUAGACAGUGAUUCCUGCAACUUGACCUUCAGGCUGGGAGAGGUGGAGAGCCAUGCCUGUUCUCCUUCCUUGCUAUGGAAUUUGCUGACACAAUAUCUUCCGCCUGGUGCUGGGCAUAUCCUAAGAACUUACAACUUUCCUGUAUUAUCCUGUGUGAGCAGCUGUCACCUUAUUGGGGGAAAAAUGCCUGAAAAUUAGGGGGCACUUCAAGUAGAUAGCUUCUAUUUCCUAUAUUUGUCUUAUAUACAAGUAUUUGCUUUUAUCAAAAUAAUUCCAAUAAAGCAUUUUAAAGUAAA
rnacentral:lncRNA from 1 species